rnacentral:lncRNA from 1 species
UGUGAGCAAUGUUUUGAUCCAUAAUAGGAUUAACGAUGUGAAGAAUGAUUUACGAAUUUAUUUGUAAUAUAAAUUUGAAACUAUGUUUAUGAAAGUUGGAUGAUUUGUUCAUGCAUGAUUUGCUUUAUUCAUGAUAGACUGUACUAUGACAUGCUUAUUUUGGAAUAUCUAUUUUUUUUUAAUUGAUGCAUUGACAUUGAAAAACUUAUGCUUGAUCCGAUAAGGUAAUGUAAGAUUUACUUACUGAGUUGUGUCGUUCAUAUAUCUCUAUUUUUAUUUUUCUUUUUCUAGGCAAAUAGGGUCAAUAGGAAUGACAAAUGGUCCAGGCGUAGAGUUCGUGCUAGCAAGCCUGGCGAUCUAUACAACGGAAUUUUAGUUCUUCAGUUAAUUAUGAAUUUGUAGUUUAGUAAUUUUCUAAAUUUUGAGGAGUAUGGGUUUGAUAUUUAUGUUUGGAUUUAGAUGCUCUGAACCAAUAUUGGUUGCAUUUAGUGGAUAAUGAAAUUGGAUUCCUAUUUAUUCUAUUUUUUUGAGAUGAAUUUGGAAGUUAAGAUGGAUUUGAAAUCUAAGAUUUAAGGUUUGGCUUCGUGUUAUCGUGGGUUAUACCCUAUGGUUGUCACGUCCCCG